UACGAAGGGUGCAAGCGUUACUCGGAAUUACUGGGCGUAAAGCGUGCGUAGGUGGUUUGUUAAGUCUGAUGUGAAAGCCCUGGGCUCAACCUGGGAAUUGCAUUGGAUACUGGCGGGCUAGAGUGCGGUAGAGGAUGGCGGAAUUCCCGGUGUAGCAGUGAAAUGCGUAGAGAUCGGGAGGAACAUCUGUGGCGAAGGCGGCCAUCUGGACCAGCACUGACACUGAAGCACGAAAGCGUGGGGAGCAAACAGG
rnacentral:rRNA from 1 species